rnacentral:rRNA from 1 species
UGAUCCUGGCUCAGAUUGAACGCUGGCGGUAGGCUUAACACAUGCAAGUCGUGCGAGAAAGUAUCUUCGGAUAUGAGUAGAGCGGCGGACGGGUGAGUAACGCGUAGGAAUCUACCUAGUAGAAGGGGAUAGCCCGGGGAAACCCGGAUUAAUACCGUAUACCUCCUUCGGGAGAAAGAAGGCCUCUCUUUGAAGCUUUCGCUACUAGAUGAGCCUGCGUAAGAUUAGCUUGUUGGUGAGGUAAAGGCUCACCAAGGCGACGAUCUUUAGCUGGUCUGAGAGGACGAUCAGCCACAUUGGGACUGAGACACGGCCCAGACUCCUGCGGGAGGCAGCAGUGGGGAAUAUUGGACAAUGGGCGCAAGCCUGAUCCAGCCAUACCGCGUGUGUGAAGAAGGCCUUCGGGUUGUAAAGCACUUUAAGCAGGGAGAAAAAGUUAUAAGUUAAUACCUUAUAACCCUGAUGUUACCUGCAGAAUAAGCACCGGCUAAUUCCGUGCCAGCAGCCGCGGUAAUACGGAAGGUGCAAGCGUUAAUCGGAAUUACUGGGCGUAAAGCGCGCGUAGGUGGUUUGUUAAGUUGGAUGUGAAAGCCCUGGGCUUAACCUAGGAACUGCAUCCAAAACUAACUCACUAGAGUACGAUAGAGGGAGGUAGAAUUCAUAGUGUAGCGGUGGAAUGCGUAGAUAUUAUGAAGAAUACCAGUGGCGAAGGCGGCCUCCUGGAUCUGUACUGACACUGAGGUGCGAAAGCGUGGGUAGCGAACAGGAUUAGAUACCCUGGUAGU